GAUGAACGCUGGCGGCGUGCCUAAUACAUGCAAGUCGAGCGAACGGACGAGAAGCUUGCUUCUCUGAUGUUAGCGGCGGACGGGUGAGUAACACGUGGAUAACCUACCUAUAAGACUGGGAUAACUUCGGGAAACCGGAGCUAAUACUGGAUGAUAUUUUGAACCGCAUGGUUCAAAAGUGAAAGACGGUCUUGCUGUCACUUAUAGAUGGAUCCGCGCUGCAUUAGCUAGUUGGUAAGGUAACGGCUUACCAAGGCAACGAUGCAUAGCCGACCUGAGAGGGUGAUCGGCCACACUGGAACUGAGACACGGUCCAGACUCCUACGGGAGGCAGCAGUAGGGAAUCUUCCGCAAUGGGCGAAAGCCUGACGGAGCAACGCCGCGUGAGUGAAGAAGGUCUUCGGAUCGUAAAACUCUGUUAUUAGGGAAGAACAUAUGUGUAAGUAACUGUGCACAUCUUGACGGUACCUAAUCAGAAAGCCACGGCUAACUACGUG
rnacentral:rRNA from 1 species